AAGCGGUGGAUGAUGUGGAUUAAUUCGAUGCAACGCGAAAACCUUACCUACCCUUGACAUGUCCGGAAUCCCGAAGAGAUUUGGGAGUGCUCGCAAGAGGAACCGGAACACAGGUGCUGCAUGGCUGUCGUCAGCUCGUGUCGUGAGAUGUUGGGUUAAGUCCCGCAACGAGCGCAACCCUUGUCAUUAGUUGCCAUCAUUUGUUGGGCACUCUAAUGAGACUGCCGGUGACAAACCGGAGGAAGCGGGGAUGACGUCAAGUCCUCAUGGCCCUUAUGGGUAGGGCUUCACACGUCAUACAAUGGUCGGUACAGAGGGUUGCCAACCCGCGAGGGGGAGCUAAUCCCACAAAGCCGAUCGUAGUCCGGAUCGCAGUCUGCAACUCGACUGCGUGAAGUCGGAAUCGCUAGUAAUCGUGGAUCAGCAUGUCACGGUGAAUACGUUCCCGGGUCUU
rnacentral:rRNA from 1 species